UUAUUUUCAAUUUUUAUCAUUUUUUCAUGUUAGUGGUGUAAAGCUAACAUUUUGCUUUCACAUCUUUUUACUGUCAGUGUUCCUAAGCAGUGCACCUUAAAUUAGUUCAUCUCUAAUUUAUCAUGCUUCUAUUUGAGUUGUCUGGAUUUCAUAUUUAGGAAGAAUAAAAUGAAUAUUUAAUUUUAACUGUAAAGGAGCAUCUUUGUUAUUAUUUCUGUUUGGAUUAUCUUGUUUAUUUUUGGUUGAUAGAUUAGUAGUUGGCAUGUUUGCUCCAAUAUGUUGAAGUGGUAGGUUUAGUUCAGUGCAUAGAAUUUGUGACUAUUAAAAGGAAAAUCAUACAGCCUGGCUGCAAAGGUCGUUCAUAUCAGUAGAUAUUAUAACUUAAUAAAGAAAACUAAAGCAUAUGUGUGGUCACAACCAAUCCUUGUCAUUAUGCCAUGAAAGCUUUGGGAUUUGUGAUCAAAGCAACAGGCUUAUCCUGAACUGAGGUAUAACCUCUGGUUGAACCUUUCAAGUUUUUAUUUUCGGAGAUGAUGCUCUAAAUGUUGGCCAUGUUACCUGCCUCUAAGACCUAUCUACCUAAUUAAGUGAUAGAGAUUAAAAUUAUUGUGAGCAAGCCAGAAGAAAAUGUAUACUGUAAAUGUAUCUGUCUUCUGUCAGUGUUGUUUACUUAUCAUUUUCCACUGAUGCUUUAAAGGAUUGCUGAACAUGUGUUUUUUAUCCAGAGCUGACUGCACUGUUCUGAUGAAUAUAAAACAUACUUCACUUUGUAAAUGCGCAUUAAAAGUAUUAGAAAGGCAUAAUCUUUGACUCUGUUACUACAUUUCAUCUGUCAAAAGAGAUAAUUUUGAACUGUAAUAUUUGGUAUUGUAUCAAGACAUGGUACUUAGAAAAAUGCUUUUAGGAUUAAAAUGGAAUUCUACUGUAAAACUUAAAUGUCAUUGUCAUCGAUAGUAAGAUUUGUCUGUAUAUAUGCUUAUUUAUUUUGUUACAUGUUGGUAUAUCUCAGUUGAGUUCAGCAUGUUUAUUUCAUAUUAAGAGAGUAUUGAACUCUUAUCGCUGACAUGCAGAUUUUCUUGUGAUGAGACUACAAUAGAGUUUAAAUACAGCAUGUCCUCAAAUAAUGUUAUUUCAUUCAAUGUUAUGUUAUAAUGCUGAUAAAAAAUAACAUCAAUUCAUGGCCAGGGCCACUGUCUGUUGAGUGUUCACAGGUUCUCCCCAUGUCUGUGUGGGUUUUUUCCAGGUACUCUGGUUUCCUUUCACAUCCCAAAGAUGUGCACAUGUGGUGAAUUGGUGUGUCUACAUGGUUCCCAUCUGAGUGAGUGUGUGCGUUUGUGUGUGUGAGUGCUCCUUGCAAUGAGAUGGUACCUGGUGUCCUGUCCAGGGUGGGUUCCUGCCUUGUGCCCUGAGUUGCCAGGGUAGGUAUAGGGCACCUGCAAUCCUGAAGUGGCAUAAUUAAGUAAAUAAUUAUCUUACUUGUUUUUAUUAAUCUUUCUUAGAUGUAUGUAUAGCUCACAUUUAUUUCAAUAUUUAAUAUUAGAAGAGUUUUGGGUAUCUAUUUAGAAGUUUGGUGAUGUUUUUGUGGCCAUUGAAAUAUGCCGUAGGAACCUAACUCAUUUAUAUUAAUUAGCUGGUGGUAAAACUGGUUUUGUUAUAUGUCAUUUUAUGAAAUUUUGCAGUUUCCAAGAACCCAUCGAUGACAGUGAGGAUUUCCGUGUAUAUGCUCAUUCUCUUACUAAUUUAAUUGUGCUAAUUUGAUAUUCUUCAUACUGUAUGUAAAAUCUUCAUAAUCUCUCUCCUCAGUAUUAGUUAUUUAGAAAUGCUUGUCAUAUUUUAAAUUCACAUAUAAAGUCCUCAAUCUCAUGGAUCCUUCCAUUUAGAGGGUGAUACAAACAAGCAGUUAUAAUACAGAUUGAUGAGUUCUGUGUUAGGGAAAUAUAAUGGAUUACGAUCUUUUCCCUAAAGCUUUGGCCACCCCAACUUUUAGACAUAAUAUUCUCAUUUGAACUUCUGGAAUGCUAGUUGUUUUCACAACCUAUUUUCUCUUAAAAAUAUAUCAUUUCACUCUUACUGAUUUAGAUCGUAUUCUGUAGGGGGAAGACACUCAUGUUUAUGUAUCCCAGACCCUAACACAGUUCUCUCUAAAGAAUAAGAACUAACUUACAGGGGCAUUCCCUAAGGGGAUGGAGCCCGUGAGGGCCAUGACACUGAGAAAUCUCCCCUCAGAGCUGGAGUGGCUGUGUUGGCUGUGCAGCGUGCUUGGUCGGGCCAAGGGGCCUCCCACUGGGAUCUGGGAUGUCAGAAAGGCCAUUGGUGAAGAAAUUUCACCAUUUGGUCUCCCCCUUUGUGGGCCAGUGGGUGGUCAAGAAUAAGAAGCUACAGCCCACCAGCCUCCAGUGUCUGUGGCUCUAGGACACCCAGGUCUGUAGAAAUAAAUUAUUCCUUAGAUUUGAUCCAGAUGAAGAAAUGGGGCUUGCUGGUAACAGCCCAUCGCCAGAGACUCCACAAAAAGAAGCGCAGAAGGAAGGGACUGUGGACCCAAAGCAGGCCCAGGAGUGCAGCAGGCAGAAGACCCUAUGGAUCCUCACCAGAGCUUGUCCUCCAGGAAGAGGAUGAUUCUGAGUGUUUGGAGGGAGACACCCUGCAGGAGAUGCUGGGAGGUGGCUGUCAGCUUCUGUUUGUUGGGCAGUGUUUGGGUGAACAAGUUCUCCAGAGCCAAGAGAGCCAACAAGAGGGGGGGACUAGAGGGAUCCUGCCCCGAGGUGGGUCCUGCACUUUCGUGGUGGUGGCUUCCUGGCAUUUUAAAAUUGUCUGAUGUCUUGGAGCUCUUUCCCAGCGAUCACACCCACCUGUGACAUCCUGUCUGAGAAGUUCCAUGGAAGGUAAACCUUGGAAGCUCUAGGCCAGGCUCAGCCUGUCUGCUUUACACUGUUGGACCAGAGAUCCUUUUCAGGGCUAGGGAACAUCAUCAAGAAUAAAGUCUUGUAUGGAGCCGGGAUCCAUCCAUCCCCUUUCUUUCGGUUUAGUCCUGAGUUCCUUGCUGGGGAGGCUCUGGUGGAUCACGUGGUAGAGUUCAGUACUGCCUUGCUGCAGGGCAAGUUCUGGGCAAACCACAGCACAGACAUGUCUACCAGAAAGAACAGUGGCCUCCUGGCUACCAGGUCAUGAAGGAGGUGUUUGGGCCCCCAAGUGGGUUGUAGAGGCUCACCUGGUAGUGCCCACAGUGCCAGCCCCAGUUGUUGGGAAGAGCGGGAGCAGCAUCAAUUCUCCUAAGGAACUCGGGAUGGAACCUUGCCCCUUGGGGAACCUGAUGUCUAAGUGUCCAGAAAGGAGGAUGUGGGCAGGGACAGGGUGCAGAAGGUGGUGUGGGUCAGGGUGCUGGUACUACAAUAUUCAUCUCCCUGGAGUUAUGUUGAAGGCAGAGUUUUCAUAGUGUUAGAUUUUCUUUUUCCUUUUCUAGUUCAUUUAAUUCUUCCUAUUGAAUUGCACCAUUGUGAAAGAUGAGAAAAAUCAUGAUAAUGGGUAAGGGGAAAGCCUCCUGGAAGGUAAUGGGGCAAGGAAAAAGAAAGCCUAUGGGAAAUAGCUGUGCUCCUAACAUAGCUUUGCAGAUGAUAUGGGGUUUCUUUCGUUUUUGUUUUGAGACAGGGUCUUGUGGUCUCCCAAGCUAGGGUGCAGUAGCAUGAUCUCAGCUCACUGCAGCCUAGCCCUCCCAGACUUAAGUAGUCCUCACCUCAGCCUCCAGAGUAGCUGGGACUACAGGCAUGUGCCAUUAUGUCUGGCUGAUUUUUGUUUACUUUUUAUUGAGAUGGGGUCUUGCCAUGUUGGCCAAGAUGGUCUUGAAUGCCUGCACUCAAUCAGUCCUCCCAUCUUGGCCUCCCAAAAUGUUGGGACUACAGAUGUGAGCUACCACGCCUGGCCAGCUCCUGUAUUUUUUUUUUUUUGUGGUUUCGCAACUUUAGUUGAUUUUAAGGCCCUCCAUUUUAGAAAGCAGGAAAAGAGGAUUUUUUUUUUCUUGUUCCCCUGGAGGAUCCAGGGAUGAGGAUAGAGUGCUUGGAUUCAGCCUCCUCCUGGACGCAGACACCAAGAGGCUGGGUGGAGCAGGGAGCUGUGCCUUUCUGGGGUGCCCAGUGAUCUGUAGAGAAAAGCUGCUUGUUUACUCCUUAAGUCUGUAUUUGUGACUGUUGAUAUGUUGAACAAUUCAGGAAUCAAGGGCAGUGGAGAAACUCCCUCAGGUUGUUGGCAAACAGGUAAAUGAAGCUAGGACAGUGCCAUGAGAAUAAAGCUCUCUGUUAAAAAAAAAGAAGAGUAAGAACUAAAUAAAUGUGGUUUCUUUUUUGUGAUAAUGAUGUGAUACAUCACCCUUCAUUUCUACCUAAGGUUUGAAUCAUAUAAUUGAGAGGGGUUUUUAUAAGUUUGAUUCUUUUAAUAAAAAAAUAACAUUUACAUUCUAUUUGUAUU